rnacentral:rRNA from 1 species
CCUACGGGUGGCAGCAGUGAGGAAUAUUGGUCAAUGGACGAGAGUCUGAACCAGCCAAGUAGCGUGAAGGAUGACUGCCCUAUGGGUUGUAAACUUCUUUUAUAUGGGAAUAAAACGUUCCACGUGUGGGAUUUUGUAUGUACCAUAUGAAUAAGGAUCGGCUAACUCCGUGCCAGCAGCCGCGGUAAUACGGAGGAUCCGAGCGUUAUCCGGAUUUAUUGGGUUUAAAGGGAGCGUAGGUGGAUUGUUAAGUCAGUUGUGAAAGUUUGCGGCUCAACCGUAAAAUUGCAGUUGAAACUGGCAGUCUUGAGUACAGUAGAGGUGGGCGGAAUUCGUGGUGUAGCGGUGAAAUGCUUAGAUAUCACGAAGAACUCCGAUUGCGAAGGCAGUUCACUGGACUGCAACUGACACUGAGGCUCGAAAGUGUGGGUAUCAAACAGGAUUAGAUACCCCUGUAGUUC